UGGGGUGCUCAGAGCAGGUGGCCGGAAGAAUGGCUUCUCUGUUUACAGCACACCCAAUAGGAAUCAUUGUGACAAGGGGCACAAAAUUUAUAACCUCUCUUGGGAGUAAAUGUCCUACACAU
ensembl:snoRNA